GAACAGAAAAGCACACGAAGAGGGAAAACACACAGGCACACAAAACAACUUGGGCUAAAUCUGACAAACAGGAAGACAGCAUACUGGAGAAAGAUGGCUUGGCUGACAUCUCUGGGCAGUGCAGUGUGCUGGGUAAAACCUCUGCAACCAGGGCGCUUGCAUUUAACGACCUACUCCCUAGCUGUGUGACCAUGGCCAAGGAGUGUUUGGAUCCACUCUCAAAAUGCAUCACCACCAACCAGCCUUGGUAACACUCUUCAACAGAAAAUGCUCACCUAGACCUCCAAACAGCCUGGGUGUUUAUGGUUCUCCUUUAAUCCUCCGCCUCAGUUUCUCAUCAAAAUUAUGGAGCAAACUUGUUUUAAAUGAAUUCAAAGUGGUUGCCUUACUUCACCGAUUAAACCAUCUACUUGCCCUUGGC